AGAGGAGGUAAUGAAAGGAAGGGACCAGGAUGAGAGGGAGGGGCUGCUUGAGAGAGUGAUCAGUGGGGAGGGGAAAUAGAUGGGCAAGAAGAAGAAAGAGAACUAGAGGGUAAGAACUUAUCUUGGGGACAGAAGGGACUUAAGAGGAGAGCCAGUGUGCUCACUUAGUCCAGCAAGAAGGGACCCUCACCAGGGACAGGAAGAACGCAUGCUGUUGUGAAGCCCAGAUGUAGCUGCCUGGGUAAGCCUUAAUUCUAACAGUUUUGAUGACUGGCAAGCCUCCCACCCAGCAGAACUUGGAAGACACUGCUGUAACUGUUGGGCUGUGUUUUAACUGUUGUGAUCUGACAAAAUGCAAGUAUUUAAUAACCCUGCUUCAUAGUCACAUAAUACUUAAUUAACCCUUUCUGAGUACUUUCUCUUGUUCUAUUAUGGUAAUAUCUUGAGAUGGCUGCAUUAUCCCCAUCUUUACAGGCAAAGAUGCUAAAACAGAAAUGACUUUGAUCAGAAUCACAGAUCAGCUAAAUGAUUCAGUAGAAAGAGCAGAUUAGUUGUGAUAUUAUUGAAGCCAAUAUCUGCCAGUCUGGAAUAAAAUAACUAGAGUAGGAUGUGACUUAAUAAGAGGUAACACAGAACUAGUGACCUGAAGCCACAAAAAAAUGUCUCCAGAUUCAAAACCCAUAUUCUCCAGAAAGGCCAAUGCUCCUCACCCUGGACCUCAGGCCUCCUGGUUCCCCUGCAGCAUCUCUGAGCGUCCUCAGUGUGGGACCCGCUAUCAGGCUUACCUGUACCCAGAGUAAUAGUUUAGAUACUAGGGGCCUGUCUCAGUCUUUUUAGGCUGCUGUAAUAGAAUGUCAUAGACUGGGUGGCUCAUACACAACAGAAAUUUAUUUUUUACAGUUUUGGAGUCUGAGAAGUCUAAGACCAAGGUGCUAGCAGGUUUGGCAUCUGGUGAGAGCCUGACUCCUACAUGGCCAUCUUUAUGCUGCAACUUCACAAGGUGGAAGGAGCAAUGGCACUUCCUUGGGCUUCUUUUAUAAGGGCAUUAUAAUCCCAUUUAUGAGGGUUCUGCUCAGAUGAUCUAAUCACCCCAAAAGUCCUCAAUACGUAAUGCCAUCACCUCGGGGGUUAGAUUUCAGCAUAUGAAUUUUGGGGUAAUACGGACAUUUAGACCAUAGCAGAGCUAAAAAGGACUCCAUGGUUAGGAGGUGUCGGAUAUGCUUAGGUGAAACUAUUGCUCCUUUGUUCUUCAGGAGUUGGGCAGUGCUACAGCAUAUUCUCUGGUCUUCUAGACUGGCUUACCUGCCCUCCCUUAUUGUUUCAGAAGAUGUUUAAAUUUUCUUCUUAUUGGUGUGCAGGAUCCAUAUAACUUAGGUGUUCUCUAAUCUAUUGAUGCUGAAUGCAAGGGAAGACUCACUGACUUUGGAAUGGUGAGUAGGCGCCAGCUACCAGAAAGUCUAGAGGAAGAACUUUCCAGGCAGACAGGAGGGAAAGACUCCAGGGUAGUAAUGACCUUAGUGAGUUCAGGAAAUAGAGGUCCCACAAGGCUGAGGAAAGUAAAGGGCCCUCACUAAGAGUCACACCAACCCCCUAACCUGGAAAAUGAGUAUUUGAGAGGAUAUUAAGACCACAAACCCAAUUCAAAACUGCAGAGUCUCUUAAGUGACUUCCAGCUGAGGACUCUGUGGGGCAUCCACCACUAAGGAUGGGGAUACAGCUUCCCAUUGUCCUCUCUGCAGAAAAAUGGAAAUCUUUUAAAUUGUCACUGGUAGUACAUAGAAGUUUAUGACUCACUAGUUCAGGGCUUGUCAAACCCUCUCUCUAUAUAUAGGGUUUUAACUGAUUAUCUGAUGGUAGGUAGGGUGGUAAUGGAACCUUAAGUUUCCACUAAAGUGUAAAAAAUAUUGCAGUGUAACAUCACCACAAAGUCUUAAUGAGCUUUGAUUCAACCCUAUUUUAACUGGGAGAAAAUGAUAAUAUAAAACUCUUAAAUGAUUAUUUUUAAAGGACUUGUUUUUCAAUUAUUUAGAUACCUGGAGUUAUUUUGGAGUUAUCCAAUUAUCGAGUUUCUGCAUGUUGCCACCUUUCACCAAGCCACUACUGUCUCUCACCUGGAUUGGUAAUAUUGGACUAAUUUGUCUUUUUCACUUUCAGGUUUGAAUCCUUGCAGGCUGUCCCUCAAACAGUAAUCUGAGUGAAUCUCCUGCACACUAAAUUAGGAUUUCUUUUUCUUAGUAAUGGCAGACUAGGUUUUUUGGAUCAACCCUCUGGCUGAAAAUAACUUGAAAGAGGAAAACUGAACAAAAUAUAAGAAAAAUUUUCUUAAGAUCAAUGAAGAGAUGAUAAAACAGUAAGAAUCAAGCUAAAAUGUGAAGAUUUAAGAGGGGUAAGAAGGUAUGGGAGCCUCUUUCACCCUGAAGGUACGCAUAUUCCCCCAAAUCAGAAUGUUAGUGUAGUAGGUCCCAGUAUACAGAAAUCAAAGCCAGGGGCUGGCAAAGUGGGGAGUCUAAUGGAGACUCAGGUAAACAGGCUCUAAGGGAUCCCCCAUCCCCCUAAGUGUAGGAGAGGGGACCUAUCUGAUUUUAACCAAGAGCAUAUGGCAAACUGAGAGAAUGUCACUCUCAUGGUACUUAUGUUAUAAAAGUCUGUCUUGUGAGUAGACAAAUGACAAGUUUAGGACAGCUUUGAGCAAGAAAUUAAAGCCACAGAUUUAAUAAAUCCUAUGAGCUAAUAAAAAUAAAUGGAAAAAAAGAAAUCCUAUGAAUUGCAAUAAAAAAGAACCAACCCCUAAAGUCAUCAUAAUGAAAUUAUUUAAAAACCAAAGAAAAGGGCCAAAGCUUAAAAUUGAUUAAAGAAAAGGGCAAAUUAUGUUUAAGAAAGGUACAUGGUACAUGGGAGACAAUAAAUAUUUGCUAAAUGAAUAAACUAUUUGGGAGAUUUUCUGCUUAUUAGCUCUAUGACCUGUGUUACUUGAUCUCUUUGAAACUCAAUCCCCUCACCUGCAAAAUGUAGAUAAUAAAACCUACUUUAUAGGGGAAAUCAUCAGGGUAAAGUUAAUAAUUCAUUAUACAUAGAACACCUAACAAUUCCUAGUAUAUAUUAGAUGUUCCUGUUCUAGGCUGAUUUUCUCCCAAAUUUGAGUUUGGGGUCUAUUCUAUGCAAAUUUACUCUCUAAUUCAGAUCUCCCAUUCAGGCUUUCUUCAGUUCCAAAUAUCCAUCUAGAAAUACUUCUAUAUCUAAAACACAUUUCCUUCCUUCCCUUUUAAAGGACUGGAGAAAAACAAGUCCUAUUGCAGUAACACCUGUUCAGCCACAGGAUAAAAAAAGGUAUGAUUCAGCAAGGUGAACAUCCCCCAGGAGGUUGUUAGAAAUGAAGAAUCUCAGGCCCUUCUGAAUCAGAUCCUGCAUUUUAUAGCAUGACUCCCAGUUGCUAAGUUGUGUCUGACUCUUUGGGACCCCAUGGAUU